GAAAGGGUAGUUUAAGCUAAAAACAUUUGACUGUUAAUCAAAAAAUCCAUAAAUAAGCUGGCCCCUUCU
rnacentral:tRNA from 1 species